AGCAGCCGCGGUAAUUCCAGCUCCAAUAGCGUAUAUUAAAGUUGUUGCAGUUAAAAAGCUCGUAGUUGGAUUUCUGGUAGAGACCCAAUGUCAGCUUGUUGCUUGUGCAGCGGGUCUCUGCCAUCCUUCUGUUAACGUUUCUUGGUAUUCAUUUACUGGUUUCGGGCUCAGAUAUUUUACCUUGAGGAAAU
rnacentral:rRNA from 1 species